rnacentral:rRNA from 1 species
GGUUAAGUUAGAAAGGGCGCACGGUGGAUGCCUUGACACUAGGAGUCGAUGAAGGACGGGACUAACGCCGAUAUGCUUCGGGGAGCUGUAAGUAAGCUUUGAUCCGAAGA